GUCUUCAAUGAUUCUUGCCUUUGAUAUCUCGUCUCUGAGCCUAUAUAUCCUUGACACAUUGAGAGAUGAAGAGAUACGAGUGAUACAACCCUUCUUUCUUCCUUCUGGUUUUCGAUUGCUCUGCUGUGAGCAAAAUCGAAGUCUUCGUGAGUGAGGGAAAAAUCUGAUCUGGGUUUUAUACACUGUGGGAAACCAUAUCCUUCGUGGGUUGGGUUGGGACUGAGAUUGUGAGGGUAUUCUGGCUGCAAGGCUUGUGAGGAAGGAAAUCUGACACCGGAAGUGGAGCUGCCACCGACUGGGCCUUGGACGUGGACACGCGAUCGGAGGACUGAGCCGUAGCCGUUGUCAACCACUUCUCAAUACAGAUCUAGGGAUCUGUCAAGAUUUGUUCAUUUCCCUUGUUUUCUUUUUAUUUUAUUUAUUUAUAUAUAUAAUCUGUAUUCCUAAUACCCCUACUCUCAUAGGUAUUCAAAUUCUUGUAUCAUUUGUUAUUUUUCUUUAUGAUCUGUAAUUUAAUCGCUAUUUGAACGACCACCCAACACAUAUUUCCAUGAUUUAUGCCCUUGUCGGGAUCUGUUUAAAUUUCUGCUUUGUUGGAGUUUAUUUAGUUUUAUGCUUUGUUAGGA
rnacentral:lncRNA from 1 species